UACGACCAUAUCACGUUGAAACACCGCUUCCCGUAGUAAAGCAACUUCGAGCCUGGCCAGUACUUAGAUGAGUGACCACUUGGGAAUACCAGAUGCUGUA